GCCUCUCUCUCUUUCUCUCUUCUGCCUCCCUCUCUCAAAUGCGCUCUCUCUCGCUCAAAGGGAGGCAGCCAUGGCUGCCGAACACCGUCCAUAUCGGAUACCAACCACGACCAAGCAUCGCCGACCCCCUUCGCCGCUAAUGCCUCCUCCGACGAACCAGCAACGACCAGCGACAACAACCCACUUCCCCGAAUCCCGUCGUCCAUCUUCGUUGCUGCCAGCAAUGACCAGCCUCCCACUGCAGAUCGGAGCCACCACUCCAGCGCCGUUCCCCAGAUCUGCCACCUCUACCAAGCCGCGAGUUAUCCCCCUCCAUCCUCCCUUUUCUCUCCUAGCCGACCAGCCAUGCAACCAGUGAAAACAGUCGGCGAUACCCCACCACCAUUGCCGUUAUUCCGGUAAAAAUCCACCAGAAAGUUCAUGACUUUUUCAUGAGUAGGUUUGAUUUCUUGUUUUCAAGCUCUUAACCUUCUUCAACUCACUUUUGUUCUUAUAUCUAAUUUUAUUUUAGUUCGUUUAAAACUGUCUUUGACUUGUGUUUGUCCAAAUGUGCAUAUGUUUUGUGAUGGCUGUAUUAUUGUGAUAUUUCGGGUAGGUUUCUCUGUUGAGAGGGGAUUACUUGCUUGAUUUUGGUGAAAAUUUUAACGCCUCUAUUAUGGCGUCAAUCCGUUAAUUAUGGACCUUUUUGUUUAAGGACUAAUGAUUUAAUUUUGGUGAAAUAGUUUAUUCACUAAUUUAGGGAAAAGUUGAAUGGUGGUUGAACGAAUCUCUCUCAAAAUAAUAGGAUUACUAUUCAUGGUAAAUUCGCCUCUAGUCGUUUCUACAAAAGGAAAUUAAUUAUUGUUGAUUGAUAUUGCUUAACACAUGUUUUCUUUUAUUUUUCGGACUGAUUCGUGAAUAAUUGGUUGAUUGAAUCGUGUUGAUUGAUAUUUCUCUUUCUUUUAUUAAUUUAGACUGAUGCUAAAUUACUAUGGAAGAAUAUGUUUGAAUUUUUACUUAACAGAUAUUUUCCUUCUUAGUUGCUUUGACUAAAUUUGAUAUUACAUAAGAUUUCUAUAUUUAUGGAAAGUCCCAUUUGACAAAUUUCAAUAAAAUAUUUUUCUCUCCUUAAUUGAUCAUGAUUGAUUGUAAAAAAUUAUCUUUUCGUUUUACCCUUCAAUCUCCUUUUCUAUAUAAAAUACUAUUCUUUUCAAUUAAGGGACACUUCUCAACCUCUUAAGCGACGAACUAUUACUCUCUCUUAAACAAAACAUCAACUAUUUUAAUACUAGGCAAUUAGAUACUUGGGGUCUUUUAUUUUUUCUUCAAGGCUUACUGGAUACAUCUUGCUAUUACUCCAAGUGCUUGACAAUAUUAUUUCCAUUGUUGCAUUUUACUUGCUGCUUACCGGUAAGUCCUCAAUCGAUGCGAUUUUCAUUCUCUGUGUGUUGAUUGUAUGACGUUGGGAAAUCCUUUAGAAAGCAUGUCUUUAGGAAUGUUUCGAUGUUUGUUUUCUUGUUUGCUUGCCCUUGUAUUUUACUUUUGCGGGUUUAAAUAGACACUUACAAGUUUCGAAGAGUCGCCAGGACAUUUAAUUAACUAUGUACUCUAGAUGGUUAUUUAUUGUUUCUUCUUGAUUUUCAUAUUUUGGUUUGUAAUAUUAUUGUAAAGACACCAUUUAUAUUAUUGUAAUAAUAAAUUUGGGGACUGCCUUUGGGGGGCGGGGAUUUACUUGCUCUAUGAAUGGCGUAGAGAGGCACAACUUAGGGUUUACGUGCAUUACAUGCUACAUGGGUCACCUAGGCACACAAAUUUAAGAUUAUGCAAUAUUUAAUUCAUCUAUUAAUUAAUUUGAUUCCAUUUGUCAUAUUGAGUAUUAGGCUAAAAUAAUAUUAAUGUGUCACUACGUGUCUAGCAUGUUAACGUAAAUUGAGCAUGAUAAAGUAAUUGCCGGCAUAUUAACUUUUAAAAGGAUCCAUGCUUCCUUUAGCAAUUAUAAAAUUCUAUACCUUGCUAUGACUUCUUAGUCUGAAGAAAUAAUUUUUUUCACAUGCAUUCAGCGCAUAAUAAUGUGUUCCUUUUGACAUACUUAAAAUAUUUCUAUCAUAUUAUCAUGACUAUACAUUUAGCAUGUUAAUUAGACAACAAAUUAAUUUCAACGCUUAGACUGAAUUUCAGCAUGUUUAAAAUGCUAGUUCCUUACAUUUAUAGCAUGUUAAAAUACUAGAUUUUAGGCAUUUUUGGCAUGUUUUCAGCAUAUCAACAUUAAAAUAUUGUGCCUCAACGUUAUCUUCAGCACGUUUAAUUAAUUUUUUCGCAUGUUUAAGUAACUCUUCAGCAUGAUUAAUUAACUUUUCAGCAUGUUUAAAUCAUGUUUCUGUAUAUCUACACAACUUUAGCAUGUUAUUAUCAUUAGAACAUUAAAUUUCUGCGCAUCUAAUAAAUUUCAGCAUGUCAUAACUACUUCCAGCAUGUUAACUUAAAGUUUCUGUAUGUUGGCAUAUCUCCAUCACGUUUAAAUAUAAUAUCAGCAUGUCAAAAUGCUAGCUUUUAGACAUCUUUAGUAUGUUGGUACACUUUCAACAUAUCACUAUGAAAUUUCUGCAAUAAUAUAACUGUUGGUUUAUUAAAAUACAUAUUUUGAGCACUUUUCGAGAUGUUUAAAUACUAGAGUAAGUAUAUUAUGGCAUCCUUAACAUGUUAAUGCCUUUUAAUAUUCUUGUUGAUUUCUUAUGUCCUCACUUAUAUUUUUACAAUACUUAAUUCACAAGCAUUUUUUUUGUUUGACACAUUUACCACACCUUUGACACCUUUCAUGAACACACACAAUGAUAUUACAUUCACGAAUCACAGUCGUUCUUUAUCACUAUUUGUUGAACAUUUAGACACCAUGCCUAUAGGUUAAUGAUAAUAUAAUUUGUUUGUCCUUGCGUGUCAUCACACUAAUUAACAUUAACUAAUCAAGAGGCUAACUUGGAAUUAUUACGUGCUACCUGUUGUCCAAUAUGUUCGCGCUUCGAGUCCUAGGCAACAUAGCUUUCUUUUAGUCUAGAACACAAAUCUAAAAUAGCAAAUUUCAAUACCUCUUGGACGAUAUUCGGGACAUUAAAUAUUACUAAAAAUGCUAGUUUUGUCCUUGUCAUAGAAUGCCCUUAGACUUGACAUCCACCCUAGGUGGGGUGGGACGAGUAGCCCUUUUCAGAAAUGAUGAUCCCAACAAAUAUUAACGGCGAGGCUAAUGACAUUAUUACUUGUCUGAGAGUUCGGCCUUUGGGUCGGAUGAUGAUUAACAAGUUGGGUUUCUGAUCCGAAUAAAAUCAAAACAUCUCUUUGUUUGACUCGGACGAUUUUUUUUAGUCUUUUUAUUUAUUUUACAUGUUUAUUUGGGGUAGCUAGUUUAUUAUAAAGCAGCCCCCUUUUUAUUAUAAAUUAUGUUGUUUCUUUCUCCUCGUUUAUCUUAUUUCUAUGUUUUUUAUUUAUUUUAUCACCUAGAUAAUCAACAAUUAGCAUUAACAAAUGACAUGUGUUUGCUUAUUAAUUAUCUUAUCACUUAGCUAAAUAGUAAAUUAAUAAUAAAAGAAGAGACCUUUCUUUGAUCACAUAGAAUCCCCAUGUAAAGUAUGAAUCGGCCGGAAACCACCUUUGUGGACCUCGAAAGGUGCCUAACACCUCGAAAGGUGCCUAACACCUUCCUUGUGAGGUAAUUUGAACCCUUACCCAAACUCUGGUGAACUAAGACAAAACGACAAAAUAGGUUCGUAGUAGCCUAGACCGGUGCCCUAACGCACCUUAAUACGUUAGGUGGCGACUCUUCACACCCUUCUCUUAAACGCAUCCCAAGAGUUUGUCAAGUCGAAUCCCUCCUUCCGCGAGGAAAAAGGAGCGCGACAGUAAUUUAUUACCAUUCUACCUUUUCCUCUUACUAUUUCACUAUGGUUUCUUACUAUGAAAGUUGUUGAUCUAUGUUUUGAUUUGGAUCUUCUAAUUAUCCCUAAUUCUAGUAGCUCUUUUAUUUGUAUUUCAAAGUCUUUAAGGUCUUCAUUUGUGGCUUCUAUAGAUGUUGUUUUUAUAGUAUAUUCUGGAUUAAUUAUUUCUAAUUUGCAGGAAUUUGAUUGGAGUCCCAAUGUUGCAAGGGUUUUCUCCAAUUAUCUCUAGUUUAUCUAGGAUUUGUAUUUUUUUUAUCUAAGUCUUUUUUUAUCUUUGAUUACCCCUAUCUGUUGUAUACCUUUCCUAACAUUGUAUAAUUUUGUACCUAGUUCUAUUAAUGUGU
rnacentral:lncRNA from 1 species